ACCGCAGUAGCCUUUUGGUAGUGGCGUCAGCAAUACAGAUGCCGAAGGUCGCUGGUUCAAAUCCUGUCUGCGAUG